rnacentral:lncRNA from 1 species
UGGAGGGGGGGGGACAGGGCGCUGCCAAUCACCGCUCUCCCCGGGGGGCCGGGGCCCCCGCGUGCCAGGCCCCCCCCGGCUGCGGGUGGAGCCAGGGCCUGGGGGCGGUGCAAUGUAACGGGGUUGAAUUAAUGACUCAUUAAGCAAACCCAGCGGUGUAACAAUGGCCAUUAAUUGGCAGGCGAUGCAGACAGCGUUAUUAGCACCAGCCCGUCCAUCAAUCGCGGCGACUGGUGUCCGGUGCAUUGAUUGCCAGACAACUCACCGCAGCUUGGGGGGGGGAUAGAACCGCGAUGGGAGCUAAUGAAUACCGCUGGCAUGUCAUUAAUGCAAUGUGUAGUUUCAGUUGACUCCCCGGGCACAUCUAGGUGUUGCCCAGGCGAGGUGUCCCUUGGACUCCACUGAGAAUCCUGCUCCGGACCACAGCUGCAGGGAGCCACUCCCCCAGGAAAAUCCCUUGGCGCUCAGGGAUUGUUGGGGAUCCAGGGGGGCAGGGCUAGCCCCAGUUGUAGAGAACGGUCAUCCUUCUGGACACUACAAGACAGAUGCGUUUGGAGGACUCUGGGCUCAGCCUGCACUAGGGGUACGUCUACACCACAAAUUCCAGUGUAACUGUAGUGCAGGUAGGCACACCCGCGCCAGCUUGAAUUUAGCCAGCGCAGCUACCACUAGUGACAAAGAUGUGGUGGCAUGGACCCUCGGACGGGCUAGCACAACCCACGUACAUACCCAGAGUCCCCAGUGGGCCGCACAGAGGUGGCUAGAGCCCAUAUGGAACUCCGCUGCCUUGUCGUCACUACUAUUCUUACCUGCAUGCGUUGAAUUAAAGCUAUCAGGGGGUAGCCGAUGACUUGCAUCUGAAGAAGUGAGGUUCUUACCCACGAAAGCUUAUGCUCCCAAUACUUCUGUUAGUCUUAAAGGUGCCACAGGACCCUCUGUUGCUUUUUACGUGAAUUAAAGCUAGUGUAGUUAUGCCUCCCUAUGCUGUAAUCCCACCUUAAUUUGCAGUGUAGACGUGCCCUAAGGCGUCAGUUCUUUGCCGGGCUGCUUCAUGAACCUAUCUGAGCACG